rnacentral:rRNA from 4 species
AAUCCAUAGGUUAAUGAGGCGAACCGGGGGAACUGAAACAUCUAAGUACCCCGAGGAAAAGAAAUCAACCGAGAUUCCCCCAGUAGCGGCGAGCGAACGGGGAGGAGCCCAGAGCCUGAAUCAGCAUGUGUGUUAGUGGAAGCGUCUGGAAAGGCGCGCGAUACAGGGUGACAGCCCCGUACACAAAAGCGCAUGUGCUGUGAGCUCGAUGAGUAGGGCGGGACACGUGGUAUCCUGUCUGAAUAUGGGGGGACCAUCCUCCAAGGCUAAAUACUCCUGACUGACCGAUAGUGAACCAGUACCGUGAGGGAAAGGCGAAAAGAACCCCGGCGAGGGGAGUGAAAAAGAACCUGAAACCGUGUACGUACAAGCAGUGGGAGCACAGGUUUACCUGUGUGACUGCGUACCUUUUGUAUAAUGGGUCAGCGACUUAUAUUCUGUAGCAAGGUUAACC